ensembl:misc_RNA Metazoa_SRP Metazoan signal recognition particle RNA
GCCAGGCAUGAUGGCUCAUGCCUGUAAUCCCCACACUUUGGGAGGCUGAGGCAGGAGCAUCACUUGAGCCCAGGAGUUCGAGAACAACCUGGGCAACAUAGUGAGACCCUGUCUCUA